rnacentral:lncRNA from 1 species
AGGCCCAAGGGAGCUGCUCCAAGGUGGCCGGGCCAGGGGGCCAGGGGCUGAGACAGCCCAUUCUCAUGGACCAGAAGAGCCCCAAGUGGCAAAUGCUCCUGCCGCUGGGCACCGUUCCUCCCGCGCGUUCCAGAUGAGAAGACCGAGACACGGAGGUCAGGUGACUUGUGGAUGUCCCCAGGCUGGUCAGGUGGGCAGAACCGAGACAACGGUGUGGCACAGAGCUUGCAUCCUGUCCCACAAGGCAGCAUAAACUGUAGCCCCAAUUAUGGGAAAUCCAACCCUAUUUACAAAGACGUUCUCUCAGCUUUGAGAAGGUUCCCCAGCAUCACAGCGGGGCUUUGGCUGGAAGACAGUGGGCCGUGGCUCCAUCAGGCCGGGGGCAGCCCCAGCCCUGCCAGGACAGGCAGGUGCCAGGCCACGAGGCACCUGUGGCAGCGGAAGGCGGGGCACCUUGUCCUCCCAGGGGGCGGGGCACUGGGUGCCAGGAGCGGGCCCGGGCGCAGCCUGCCUCGUGGGUGCUGGGAGGGCAGCCAGGGGCCAUUGGGGGCUUUGUGCCUAUCACUGAAGCACAGCAUGGACCUCCGCCCCUUCCUUGCACCCUUGGCAGCCAGGUGGGCACACCUGCCCCAGGCAGUCCCAGGCCCCAUCCCUGACCCUGGCUGGUACCCAGUGUUAGGGUUAGGGUUAGGGAUCCCCCAGACCAUAGCGUCCUUAAACAAAGGAACAAAGCUGAGCCCUGGCCUGGGUCACAGACAUGGGGUCUCAGGCGGCAGUGUCUCCGACUCCAGGAGCAGCUCAGCCCCGCCUCUUCCAGGAAGCCCGCAGGGACUGCUCCGUCCCUCUCUCUCUCUCU